UACGUAGGGUGCGAGCGUUAAUCGGAAUACUGGGCGUAAAGCGUGCGCAGGCGGUGAUGUAAGACAGAUGUGAAAUCCCCGGGCUCAACCUGGGACCUGCAUUGUGACUGCAUCGCUGAGAGUACGGCAGAGGGGGAUGGAAUUCCGCGUGUAGCAGUGAAAUGCGUAGAUAUGCGGAGGAACACCGAUGGCGAAGGCAAUCCCCUGGGCCUGCACUGACGCUCAUGCACGAAAGCGUGGGGAGCAACAGG
rnacentral:rRNA from 1 species